rnacentral:rRNA from 1 species
CGCUUGCGGCAGGCUUAACACAUGCAAGUCGAGCGCGUAGCAAUACGAGCGGCAGACGGGUGAGUAACGCGUGGGAACAACCCUUUUCUACGGAAUAACGCAGGGAAACUUGUGCUAAUACCGUAUACGCCCUUCGGGGGAAAGAUUUAUCGGAGAAGGAUGAGCCCGCGUUGGAUUAGCUAGUUGGUGGGGUAAAGGCCUACCAAGGCGACGAUCCAUAGCUGGUCUGAGAGGAUGAUCAGCCACAUUGGGACUGAGACACGGCCCAAACUCCUACGGGAGGCAGCAGUGGGGAAUAUUGGACAAUGGGCGCAAGCCUGAUCCAGCCAUGCCGCGUGAGUGAUGAAGGCCCUAGGGUUGUAAAGCUCUUUCACCGGUGAAGAUAAUGACGGUAACCGGAGAAGAAGCCCCGGCUAAGUUCGUGCCAGCAGCCGCGGUAAUACGAAGGGGGCGAGCGUUGUUCGGAUUUACUGUGCGUAAAGCGCACGUAGGCGGACAUUUAAGUGUAGGGGUGAAAUCCCGGGGCUCGAACCUCAGGGAACUGCCUUUGAUACUGGGUGUCUAGAGUCCGGGAGAGGUGAGUGGAAUUUCCGAGUGCAGAGGUGACACUUAGUAGAUAUUUGGAGGAACACCAGUGGCGACGGCGGCUCACUGGUCCGGAACUGACGCUGAGGUGCGAUAGCGUGGGGAGCAAACAGGAUUAGAUACCCUGGUCGUCCACGCCGUAAACGAUGAAUAUGUGCCGUCGGGCAGUGUACUCUUCGGUGGCGCAGCUAACGCCUUAAACAUUCCGCCUGGGGAGUACGGUCGCAAGAUUAAAACUCAAAGGAAUUGAAGGGGGCCCGCACCAGCGGUGGAGCCUGUGGUUUAAUUUGAAGCAACGCGCAGAACCUUACCAGCCCUUGACAUCCCGGUCGCGGUUACGAGAGAUAGUAUCCUUCAGUUCGGCUGGACCGAAGACAGCUGCUGCAUGGCAGUCGUCAGCUCGUGUCGUGAGAUGUUGGGUUAAGUCCCGCAACGAGCGCAACCCUCGCCCUUAGUCACCAGCAUUCAGUUGGGCACUCUAAGGGGACGGCCGGUGAUAAGCCGAGAGGAAGGUGGGGAUGACGUCAAGUCCCCAUGCCCCUUACGGGAUGGCCUACCCCCGUGCCACAAUGGUGGUGACAGUGGUCAGCGAGACCGCGAGGUCGAGCUAAUCUCCAAAAGCCAUCUCAGUUCGGAUUGCACUCUGCAACUCGAGUCCUUGAAGUUGGAAUCGCUCGUAAUCGCAGAUCAGCAUGGUGCGGUGAAUACGUUCCCGGGCCUUGUACACACCGCCCGUCACACCCCGGGAGUUGGUUCUCCCCGAAGGUAGUGCGCUUACCGCAAGGACGCAGCUAACCAUGGAAG